rnacentral:rRNA from 1 species
CCUACGGGCGGCUGCAGUGGGGAAUAUUGCACAAUGGGCGCAAUCCUGAUGCAGCCAUGCCGCGUGUGUGAAGAAGGCCUUCGGGUUGUAAAGCACUUUCAGCGGGGAGGAAGGCGUUAAGGUUAAUAACCUUGGCGAUUGACGUUACCCGCAGAAGAAGCACCGGCUAACUCCGUGCCAGCAGCCGCGGUAAUACGGAGGGUGCAAGCGUUAAUCGGAAUUACUGGGCGUAAAGCGCACGCAGGCGGUCUGUCAAGUCGGAUGUGAAAUCCCCGGGCUCAACCUGGGAACUGCAUUCGAAACUGGCAGGCUAGAGUCUUGUAGAGGGGGGUAGAAUUCCAGGUGUAGCGGUGAAAUGCGUAGAGAUCUGGAGGAAUACCGGUGGCGAAGGCGGCCCCCUGGACAAAGACUGACGCUCAGGUGCGAAAGCGUGGGGAGCAAACAGGAUUAGAUACCCUAGUAGUC